GUGUCUGGUGGGUAGUUUGACUGGGGCGGUCUCCUCCCAAAGCGUAACGGAGGAGCACGAAGGUUAGCUAAUCCUGGUCGGACAUCAGGAGGUUAGUGCAAUGGCAUAAGCUAGCUUGACUGCGAGCGUGACGGCGCGAGCAGGUGCGAAAGCAGGUCAUAGUGAUCCGGUGGUUCUGAAUGGAAGGGCCAUCGCUCAACGGAUAAAAGGUACUCCGGGGAUAACAGGCUGAUACCGCCCAAGAGUUCAUAUCGACGGCGGUGUUUGGCACCUCGAUGUCGGCUCAUCACAUCCUGGGGCUGAAGUAGGUCCCAAGGGUAUGGCUGUUCGCCAUUUAAAGUGGUACGCGAGCUGGGUUUAGAACGUCGUGAGACAGUUCGGUCCCUAUCUGCCGUGGGCGCUGGAGAAUUGAGGGGGGCUGCUCCUAGUACGAGAGGACCGGAGUGGACGCAUCACUGGUGUUCGGGUUGUCAUGCCAAUGGCACUGCCCGGUAGCUAAAUGCGGAAGAGAUAAGUGCUGAAAGCAUCUAAGCACGAAACUUGCCCCG
rnacentral:rRNA from 1 species